rnacentral:rRNA from 1 species
GACGAACGCUGGCGGCGUGCUUAACACAUGCAAGUCGAACGGAAAGGCCCUGCUUGCAGGGUACUCGAGUGGCGAACGGGUGAGUAACACGUGGGUGAUCUGCCCUGCACUUCGGGAUAAGCCUGGGAAACUGGGUCUAAUACCGGAUAGGAGCCAUUUUUAGUGUGAUGGUUGGAAAGUUUUUUCGGUGUAGGAUGAGCUCGCGGCCUAUCAGCUUGUUGGUGGGGUAAUGGCCUACCAAGGCGGCGACGGGUAGCCGGCCUGAGAGGGUGGACGGCCACAGUUGGACUGGGAGACGGGCCAGACUCCUACGGGAGGCAGCAGUGGGGAAGAUUGCACCAUGGGGGCAAGCCUGAUGCAGCGACGCCGCGGGGGGGAUUACGGGCUUCGGGUUGGAAACUCCCUUCGCCAGGGACGAAGCCUUUUGUGACGGUACCUAGAUAAGAAGCCCCGGCUAACUACGUG